rnacentral:rRNA from 1 species
GAUGAACGCUGACAGAAUGCUUAACACAUGCAAGUCUACUUGAACUUCGGUUUGGGUGGCGGACGGGUGAGUAACGCGUAAAGAACUUGCCUCACAGAUAGGGACAACAUUUGGAAACGAAUGCUAAUACCUGAUAUUAUGAUUUUAGGGCAUCCUAGAAUUAUGAAAGCUAUAUGCACUGUGAGAGAGCUUUGCGUCCCAUUAGCUAGUUGGAGAGGUAACGGCUCACCAAGGCGAUGAUGGGUAGCCGGCCUGAGAGGGUGAUCGGCCACAAGGGGACUGAGACACGGCCCUUACUCCUACGGGAGGCAGCAGUGGGGAAUAUUGGACAAUGGGCCAAGAGUCUGAUCCAGCAAUUCUGUGUGCACGAUGAAGUUUUUCGGAAUGUAAAGUGCUUUCAGUUGGGAAGAAAAAAAUGACGGUACCAACAGAAGAAGUGACGGCUAAAUACGUG